GUGAAUCUGAGCGUUUGGUCAAACCAACGUUAUGCAUUUGAGGUAAAAAAUAGAAAAGCAAACAUUGCCAUAUGUGGGUAAACAGACAGGGCUGGAAAAGCCCACCAGGCCUGGGGUUGCUCCUGCCCCAGGGUGCCUCCGGUUUCUCUCCUCCAGCAUGCCAGAGAGUGGGCCUGUGCGGGACUGAGGUUCAAGCUGUCCUGACACAGCCAAGCAGGGAACCUACAUUUCUGGUCAUUCAUCUUCAUCUUUUCUUCCUUUGCCCUUCCCCAGGGGCUAGAAAGUUACUUAGGUAGAAGUAAAAUCCAAACGUUAAUAUGAAAUACUGUGAAUUCAUAUCCUCUCAUGUCUAUUCCAGAUCUAACCAAAUAACUCAGGGUCAAAUAGAAGGACCCUGCCUUCCUCUCAGAAUCCAGUAAACUCUGUCCCUCAAGCACCCAUCUAGGACUGGGCCUUUCAGAAUUGUAUUUGCCAUCACCUCUGCCCUGUGAGCCAGAGCUGAGAGCUGCAUGUGAGUGCCAAGGUCUUUUAGGCUGACAGUGCGAUGGACUGCAUAGUAACUUCUGUGUCCUGCACGUAUACCUCCAGAUGAGUUCCUGGAAAUAAUCUGAAGUAACUGGAAAACCACAAAAGGAGAAGGAAUGACCAAUCCCUGAGGUGCCUAAUUAACUUGAGAUAUUGUUCCUUAUUCCUACCUCAACUGAUAAGGCAACUGAACUUUGUAACCAACCUUGGCCAACUUCAUGACUCCAGACUCUACGACCCCCUCCCAGCUUGCAUGAAACCACCCUAAACUGUAACUUCUGUAACUUUCCACUGCCUACCCCAAACCUAUAAAACCAACUCCUAUCCCACUGCCCUCUGCUGACCCUCUUUUCAGACUUAGCCUGCCCACACCCAAGUGAAUAAACAGCCAUGUUGCUCA